UACAGAGGUCCCGAGCGUUGUUCGGAUUCAUUGGGCGGUAAAGGGUGCGUAGGGCGGCUGGGGUAAGUUUGAUGAUGGAAAUCCCGGGGCUCAACCCUGGAAUUGCAUUGAAUACUACCCUGCUAGAGUACCGGAGAGGAAACUGGAAUUUACGGUGUAGCAGUGAAAUGCGUAGAGAUCGUAAGGAAGACCAGUGGCGAAGGCGAGUUUCUGGACGGUAACUGACGCUGAGGCACGAAGGCCAGGGGAGCAAACAGG
rnacentral:rRNA from 1 species